GACGAACGCUGGCGGCGUGCUUAACACAUGCAAGUCGAACGAAGAGCGAUGGAAGCUUGCUUCUAUCAAUCUUAGUGGCGAACGGGUGAGUAACGCGUAAUCAACCUGCCCUUCAGAGGGGGACAACAGUUGGAAACGACUGCUAAUACCGCAUACGAUCUAAUCUCGGCAUCGAGGAUAGAUGAAAGGUGGCCCCUACAUGUAAGCUAUCACUGAAGGAGGGGAUUGCGUCUGAUUAGCUAGUUGGAGGGGUAACGGCCCACCAAGGCGAUGAUCAGUAGCCGGUCUGAGAGGAUGAACGGCCACAUUGGGACUGAGACACGGCCCAGACUCCUACGGGAGGCAGCAGUGGGGAAUCUUCCGCAAUGGACGAAAGUCUGACGGAGCAACGCCGCGUGAGUGAUGACGGCCUUCGGGUUGUAAAGCUCUGUUAAUCGGGACGAAAGGCCUUCUUGCGAAUAGGGAGAAGGAUUGACGGUACCGGAAUAGAAAGCCACGGCUAACUACGUG
rnacentral:rRNA from 1 species